GUUAGGAAUAUUGGACAAUGGGCGAAAGCCUGAUCCAGCCAUGCCGCGUGAACGAUGAAGGCCUUCGGGUUGUAAAGUUCUUUAGCCGAUGAUUAUAAUGACUGUAGUCGGAAAAUAAGCCCCGGCUAACUUCGUGCCAGCAGCCGCGGUAAUACGAAGGGGGCGAGCGUUAUUCGGAAUCACUGGGCGUAAAGCGUGCGUAGGCGGUUUUGUAAGUUAGGAGUGAAAGCCCAGGGCUCAACCUUGGAAUUGCGCUUAAAACUGCAAGGCUCGAAUCUCGGAGAGGAUAGCGGAAUUUCCAGUGUAGCAGUGAAAUGCGUAGAUAUUGGAAGGAACACCAGUGGCGUAAGCGGCUAUCUGGACGAGUAUUGACGCUGAGGCACGAAAGCGUGGGGAUCAAACAGGAUUAGAUACCCGAGUAGUCC
rnacentral:rRNA from 1 species